GUUAGCUCAGUUGGUUAGAGUGUGGUGCUGAUAACACCAAGGUUACAGGUUUGAUAUCCAUAUGGGAGAGCUGCA